AGUGAACGCUGGCGGUAGGCCUAACACAUGCAAGUCGAACGGAAGCACAGUAAGAGCUUGCCCUUACGGGUGGCGAGUGGCGGACGGGUGAGGAAUACAUCGCAAUCUACUUUUUCGUGGGGGAUAACGUAGGGAAACUUCCGCUAAUACCGCAUACGACCUACGGGUGAAAGCAGGGGAUCUUCGGACCUUGCGCGAUUGUAUGAGCCGAUGUCGGAUUAGCUAGUUGGCGGGGUAAAGGCCCACCAAGGCGACGAUCCGUAGCUGGUCUGAGAGGAUGAUCAGCCACACUGGAACUGAGACACGGUCCAGACUCCUACGGGAGGCAGCAGUGGGGAAUAUUCGACAAUGGGCGCAAGCCUGAUCCAGCCAUACCGCGUGAGUGAAGAAGGCCUUCGGGUUGUAAAGCCCUUUUGUUGGGAAAGAAAAGCAGCAGGUUAAUACCCCGCUGUUCUGACGGUACCCAAAGAAUAAGCACCGGCUAACUUCGUG
rnacentral:rRNA from 1 species